rnacentral:rRNA from 1 species
UACGAAGGUCCCGAGCGUUGUUCGGAAUCACUGGGCGUAAAGGGCCAGUAGGCGGCCAACUAAGUCCGACGUGAAAUCCCAAGGCUUAACCUUGGAACUGCGUCGGAUACUGGAUGGCUUGAAUUCGGGAGAGGGAUGCAGAAUUCCAGGUGUAGCGGUGAAAUGCGUAGAUAUCUGGAGGAAUACCGGUGGCGAAGGCGGCAUCCUGGACCGACAUUGACGCUGAACGGCGAAAGCUAGGGGAGCAAACAGG